rnacentral:rRNA from 1 species
UAACCAGACUCCUACGGGAGGCAGCAGUGAGGAAUAUUGGUCAAUGGGCGCAAGCCUGAACCAGCCAAGUCACGUGAGGGAAGACGGCCCUACGGGUUGUAAACCUCUUUUGCCGGGGAGCAAGCCUGAGCACGUGUGCCCAGGCGGAGAGUACCCGGAGAAAAAGCAUCGGCUAACUCCGUGCCAGCAGCCGCGGUAAUACGGAGGAUGCGAGCGUUAUCCGGAUUUAUUGGGUUUAAAGGGUGCGCAGGCGGGCUGUUAAGCCGGCGGUAAAAAUUCAGGGCUCAACCCUGUCGAGCCGUCGGAACUGGCAGUCUUGAGUGGGCGAGAAGUAUGCGGAAUGCGUGGUGUAGCGGUGAAAUGCUUAGAUAUCACGAAGAACCCCGAUUGCGAAGGCAGCUUACUAAACUGUGACUGACAUUGAUGCUCGAAAGUGUGGGUAUCAAACAGGAUUAGAUACCCUAGUACA